rnacentral:rRNA from 2 species
GGGUUGUGAGGUUAAGCGACUAAGCGUACACGGUGGAUGCCCUGGCAGUCAGAGGCGAUGAAGGGCGUGCUAAUCUGCGAUAAGCGCCGGUAAGGUGAUAUGAACCGUUAUAACCGGCGAUACCCGAAUGGGGAAACCCAGUGUGACUCGUCACACUAUCAUUAACUGAAUCCAUAGGUUAAUGAGGCGAACCGGGGGAACUGAAACAUCUAAGUACCCCGAGGAAAAGAAAUCAACCGAGAUUCCCCCAGUAGCGGCGAGCGAACGGGGAGGAGCCCAGAGCCUGAAUCAGCAUGUGUGUUAGUGGAAGCGUCUGGAAAGGCGCGCGAUACAGGGUGACAGCCCCGUACACAAAAGCGCAUGUGCUGUGAGCUCGAUGAGUAGGGCGGGACACGUGGUAUCCUGUCUGAAUAUGGGGGGACCAUCCUCCAAGGCUAAAUACUCCUGACUGACCGAUAGUGAACCAGUACCGUGAGGGAAAGGCGAAAAGAACCCCGGCGAGGGGAGUGAAAAAGAACCUGAAACCGUGUACGUACAAGCAGUGGGAGCACAGGUUUACCUGUGUGACUGCGUACCUUUUGUAUAAUGGGUCAGCGACUUAUAUUCUGUAGCAAGGUUAACCGAAUAGGGGAGCCGGAGGGAAACCGAGUCUUAAUUGGGCGUUAAGUUGCAGGGUAUAGACCCGAAACCCGGUGAUCUAGCCAUGGGCAGGUUGAAGGUUGGGUAACACUAACUGGAGGACCGAACCGACUAAUGUUGAAAAAUUAGCGGAUGACCUGUGGCUGGGGGUGAAAGGCCAAUCAAACCGGGAGAUAGCUGGUUCUCCCCGAAAGCUAUUUAGGUAGCGCCUCGUGAAUUCAUCUCCGGGGGUAGAGCACUGUUUCGGCUAGGGGGCCAUCCCGGCUUACCAACCCGAUGCAAACUGCGAAUACCGGAGAAUGUUAUCACGGGAGACACACGGCGGGUGCUAACGUCCGUCGUGAAGAGGGAAACAACCCAGACCGCCAGCUAAGGUCCCAAAGUCAUGGUUAAGUGGGAAACGAUGUGGGAAGGCCCAGACAGCCAGGAUGUUGGCUUAGAAGCAGCCAUCAUUUAAAGAAAGCGUAAUAGCUCACUGGUCGAGUCGGCCUGCGCGGAAGAUGUAACGGGGCUAAACCAUGCACCGAAGCUGCGGCAGCGACACUGUGUGUUGUUGGGUAGGGGAGCGUUCUGUAAGCCUGUGAAGGUGUGUCGUGAGGCAUGCUGGAGGUAUCAGAAGUGCGAAUGCUGACAUAAGUAACGAUAAAGCGGGUGAAAAGCCCGCUCGCCGGAAGACCAAGGGUUCCUGUCCAACGUUAAUCGGGGCAGGGUGAGUCGACCCCUAAGGCGAGGCCGAAAGGCGUAGUCGAUGGGAAACAGGUUAAUAUUCCUGUACUUGGUGUUACUGCGAAGGGGGGACGGAGAAGGCUAUGUUGGCCGGGCGACGGUUGUCCCGGUUUAAGCGUGUAGGUGUGUGUUCCAGGUAAAUCCGGUUCACUUUAACACUGAGGCGUGAUGACGAGGCACUACGGUGCUGAAGCAACAAAUGCCCUGCUUCCAGGAAAAGCCUCUAAGCAUCAGGUAACAUCAAAUCGUACCCCAAACCGACACAGGUGGUCAGGUAGAGAAUACCAAGGCGCUUGAGAGAACUCGGGUGAAGGAACUAGGCAAAAUGGUGCCGUAACUUCGGGAGAAGGCACGCUGACACGUAGGUGAAGUGAUUUACUCAUGGAGCUGAAGUCAGUCGAAGAUACCAGCUGGCUGCAACUGUUUAUUAAAAACACAGCACUGUGCAAACACGAAAGUGGACGUAUACGGUGUGACGCCUGCCCGGUGCCGGAAGGUUAAUUGAUGGGGUCAGCGCAAGCGAAGCUCCUGAUCGAAGCCCCGGUAAACGGCGGCCGUAACUAUAACGGUCCUAAGGUAGCGAAAUUCCUUGUCGGGUAAGUUCCGACCUGCACGAAUGGCGUAAUGAUGGCCAGGCUGUCUCCACCCGAGACUCAGUGAAAUUGAACUCGCUGUGAAGAUGCAGUGUACCCGCGGCAAGACGGAAAGACCCCGUGAACCUUUACUAUAGCUUGACACUGAACAUUGAGCCUUGAUGUGUAGGAUAGGUGGGAGGCUUUGAAGCGUGGACGCCAGUCUGCGUGGAGCCGACCUUGAAAUACCACCCUUUAAUGUUUGAUGUUCUAACGUGGACCCGUAAUCCGGGUUGCGGACAGUGUCUGGUGGGUAGUUUGACUGGGGCGGUCUCCUCCUAAAGAGUAACGGAGGAGCACGAAGGUUGGCUAAUCCUGGUCGGACAUCAGGAGGUUAGUGCAAUGGCAUAAGCCAGCUUGACUGCGAGCGUGACGGCGCGAGCAGGUGCGAAAGCAGGUCAUAGUGAUCCGGUGGUUCUGAAUGGAAGGGCCAUCGCUCAACGGAUAAAAGGUACUCCGGGGAUAACAGGCUGAUACCGCCCAAGAGUUCAUAUCGACGGCGGUGUUUGGCACCUCGAUGUCGGCUCAUCACAUCCUGGGGCUGAAGUAGGUCCCAAGGGUAUGGCUGUUCGCCAUUUAAAGUGGUACGCGAGCUGGGUUUAGAACGUCGUGAGACAGUUCGGUCCCUAUCUGCCGUGGGCGCUGGAGAACUGAGGGGGGCUGCUCCUAGUACGAGAGGACCGGAGUGGACGCAUCACUGGUGUUCGGGUUGUCAUGCCAAUGGCACUGCCCGGUAGCUAAAUGCGGAAGAGAUAAGUGCUGAAAGCAUCUAAGCACGAAACUUGCCCCGAGAUGAGUUCUCCCUGAGACUUAGAGUCUCCUGAAGGAACGUUGAAGACGACGACGUUGAUAGGCCGGGUGUGUAAGCGCAGCGAUGCGUUGAGCUAACCGGUACUAAUGAACCGUGAGGCUUAACCUUACAACGCCGAAG